CUCUUUUUAUUCAUCAUUUUGCUGUAGCUCGGCUCUUUUUAUUUAUUUUCUUGCAGCCCCAUGAGCAAAAUGCAGCCUGCAGGUUAAUGAUGACGUAACUAUCAUUCGACCGCAAACAGCGGCACCUUAGUGAAUAUAAGAAUUCAAAUAAUUCAUAUUAAUGAAUAUUACACCUGCUCAAUGAAACUCAGACGAUUCACUAUAUUAAUAAAUCUGAGAUAACUUGGUCAGAAAUCUUAAAAGGGGAGAAAAAGAUUAAGCCAUCAAUAGAAAGUAAUACUGUGGUUUUUGUCUUGCAGAUGUCAGUGUAUUACUUGCAUUUUCUUCCAAACGCACUGGUAUAACAGCGCCGUUGUGGUCCAGUGAUCAGCACGUUGCGAUGCCGUUGCUGACCUGAGUUCGAACCUCACCUGGACAUCCAAAGGCAGAAGCACGAACCACAGCUCUGUUUACACAUUUGACUACAUCACAAAUUCUGUGGAUGGAUAACUAUUGUGAACUACUUCGAUGAAAACAGAUGGAGGAACACUUUCGCAUGUCGAGAAGUACAUAAUAUGUGUGUGCUGGCGCUCACCGGAGCACCACGUGCACAUGCGUCAAGCAACUGAAGCAGAGCUUGAAGGUAAACAAACGGCGGUUUAUCAUACGCAUUUUAUCGAUAAUUAUUUCCACAGUUUAAGAAGGAACAUAGAAACGUUAUCUGACUAACAUCUAGCAGCUAAAUGUGUCUGGAAAAAUAUUCAAAGGCUUUUAUUUUCAUAAACAACGCGGAUGUGAAAGCGUCUCAGUGUUCUGAUUGGCUGGAGUACACGUCUCGUGUCAACGCGUGUUAAUCAUGAACGCACUCUUUCCGGCAAUUUUGCCUCUGUGUUCACACAGCGCAGCAUUCCGGCAAAUUACCGGCAAUGUUAAAGCUUCACUUUCCGGAAAAUUUACCGGAAACGAAUUUACCAGUAUCUUCAAAAAGGGCCAGCUCACACAUGAUCCCUUUUCGGAAAAUUGCCGGAAAGGGGCUACUAUGUGCCCCCCUUAUAAGUUCAAAAACUACUGUUCACUUAGCCGACAAUGAUACAAGUUUCUGGCACCGCAGCGUCUUGCUGUCAUAUUUCAUUUACUUUUUCGCUGUUUUUCUAUAAGUUCUUUAAGUUUAACCUGCCACAGGAGCUGCUCUUACAGUUCUACUCAGCUGUCACCCAAUCCAUCCUCUGCACUUCAAUCACCGUCUGGUUCAGCUCAGCUGCCAAAACCGACCUCCGUAGACUACAGCGAAUAGUCCGGACUGCUGAACGAAUCACUGGCACUACCCUUCCUACACUUCAAGAACUGUACUCUUCCAGAGUGAGUAAAAGGGCUCGCAAAAUCACUCUGGAUGCCUCACACCCAGCACACUACCUGUUCGAACUGUUACCGUCUGGUCGGCGCUUCAGAGCACCAAGCGCAAAAACAGCCAGACACAGGAAAAGUUUCUUUCCUCAGGCUGUCUACCUUAUGAACAGUUAAAUAUCCCCCUACUGUGCAAUAAAUAUGUGCAAUACUUUAUCAUACGCACUUGUACACAGCACCUUAUAACCUGUAUAUUUAUAACAAUCUGUACACACAACUCAACAUCCAGAUUUCUUGACUAGCUGCAUCUCUGUUUAAUGUUUAUUGUCUUUUUUUUAUAUUUAUUUUGUGUUGUCACUUUAUGUACACUGGAAGCUUCUGUAGCCAAAACAAAUUCCUUGUGUGUGUGAAGCACACUUGGCAAUAAAACUGAUUCUGAUUUCUUGAACCAAA